rnacentral:tRNA from 1 species
UAGGAUGUAGUAUAAUGGAAGUACCAGGAGUUUUGAUCUCUUUAAUACAGGUUCAAAUCCUGUUUUUCUAA